GUUUUCAAUAAUUUUACUCUUUUUGAGUCUUCACGAAUCCAGAUGAGCUAAAACUUACUCAUAUUAGAGGGUCUACUUAGUGUAUCAAUACUAUUAUAUUAUAGGAAUUUAGGGGUGAUAGGCCUAUCAAAUCUGGUGAUAUCUUGUUAGCAAAAAAAUAUAUUAAGUAUAAAGAACAAACCAAAAAUGUUAAGGUUUUUGGUACACAUUAUUUUGAACUUUUAAUUGGCGGACUUGGUAAAAUAUACCGCAUAUAUUAUAUUAUAACUAAUCUUGGAGUUUUUAUGUACAUUAUUUGCUUUACAGUAGUAUUUUUAAUAUUGUAAAAUAAUGAAGACAUUAGUAAUCUUUUAAAUUUAGUAAAGGAACUCGGCAAAUAAAAUUUUCGACUGUUUAUCAAAAACAUUGCUUUAAGUAUUUAUUUAAGGUUUACCCUGCUCAAUGAUAAUUAAAUAGCCGCAGUACCCUGACUGUGCAAAGGUAGCAUAAUCAGUUGACUUAUAAUUGAAGUCUAGUAUGAAUGGGAAUCCGGAAAUUAACUGUCUCUACUAAAAUUUAGAACUUUCUUAAUAAGUGAAAAUUCUUAUAAUUUGAAAAAAGACGAGAAGACCCUAGAAAUUUUUUUAAGUUUUAAUACAGUCAUUUUGUUGGGGCGACAUGGUAGCAAAAAACCUACCAAAACAAUAGGAAACUAUUUAGUUGAAUAACUAAAUUACUCUAGGGAUAACAGCAUAAUAUAAUAAAGUUUGUGACCUCGAUGUUGGACUAGGGAGAUGUUUCUCUAGAAGAGAACCAUGCUGGCUCUGUUCGAGCUUAUACACCUACAUGAUCUGAUUUCAGACCGG
rnacentral:rRNA from 1 species